rnacentral:rRNA from 2 species
UAGGUGGGAGGCUUUGAAGCGUGGACGCCAGUCUGCGUGGAGCCGACCUUGAAAUACCACCCUUUAAUGUUUGAUGUUCUAACGUGGACCCGUAAUCCGGGUUGCGGACAGUGUCUGGUGGGUAGUUUGACUGGGGCGGUCUCCUCCUAAAGAGUAACGGAGGAGCACGAAGGUUGGCUAAUCCUGGUCGGACAUCAGGAGGUUAGUGCAAUGGCAUAAGCCAGCUUGACUGCGAGCGUGACGGCGCGAGCAGGUGCGAAAGCAGGUCAUAGUGAUCCGGUGGUUCUGAAUGGAAGGGCCAUCGCUCAACGGAUAAAAGGUACUCCGGGGAUAACAGGCUGAUACCGCCCAAGAGUUCAUAUCGACGGCGGUGUUUGGCACCUCGAUGUCGGCUCAUCACAUCCUGGGGCUGAAGUAGGUCCCAAGGGUAUGGCUGUUCGCCAUUUAAAGUGGUACGCGAGCUGGGUUUAGAACGUCGUGAGACAGUUCGGUCCCUAUCUGCCGUGGGCGCUGGAGAACUGAGGGGGGCUGCUCCUAGUACGAGAGGACCGGAGUGGACGCAUCACUGGUGUUCGGGUUGUCAUGCCAAUGGCACUGCCCGGUAGCUAAAUGCGGAAGAGAUAAGUGCUGAAAGCAUCUAAGCACGAAACUUGCCCCGA